rnacentral:tRNA from 1 species
GUUGGAGUGGCAGAGCCCGGAAUACUGCAAAAGACCUAAGUCCUUUCCACAAAGGUUCAAAUCCUUUCUCCAACU